GGGCGGUUAGCUCAGCUGGGAGAGCACAUCCCUUACAAGGAUGGGGUCACUGGUUCGAGCCCAGUACCGCCCACCA
rnacentral:tRNA from 3 species